UUCACCUUUUAAGAUCCGUUGCGCCAGCUUCUCAGCCAGAACAUACGAAAGGUUUUUCUGUGCAGCUAACUGUUGUGCGCUUAAAGGCAUUACUAAUCUUCCUUUUUCUUUUUAUUCCUCCUUAGUAUGCCACCAGGAAGUGUGAUUACGGUUGCAAAAACGGCAAAUUGCUUGUUUUAUGGCACAUUAACGGGGCUUUUGCUGAAAAAAUGCGCGGUCAGAAAAUUAUUUUAAAUUUCCUCUUGUCAGACCGGAAUAACUCCCUAUAAUGCGCCACCACUGACACGGAACAACGGCAAGCACGCCGCCGGGUCAGCGGGGUUCUCCUGAGAAUUCCGGCAGAGAAAGCAAAAAUAAAUGCUUGACUCUGUAGCGGGAAAGCGUAUUAUGCACACCCCGCGCCGCUGAGAAAAAGCGAAGCGGCACUGCUCUUUAACAAUUUAUCAGACAAUCUGUGUGGGCACUCGAAGAUACGGAUUCUUAACGUCGCAAGACGAAAAAUGAAUACCAAGUCUCAAGAGUGAACACGUAAUUCAUUACGAAGUUUAAUUCUUUGAGCAUCAAACUUUUAAAUUGAAGAGUUUGAUCAUGGCUCAGAUUGAACGCUGGCGGCAGGCCUAACACAUGCAAGUCGAACGGUAACAGGAAGAAGCUUGCUUCUUUGCUGACGAGUGGCGGACGGGUGAGUAAUGUCUGGGAAACUGCCUGAUGGAGGGGAUAACUACUGGAAACGGUAGCUAAUACCGCAUAACGUCGCAAGACCAAAGAGGGGGACCUUCGGGCCUCUUGCCAUCGGAUGUGCCCAGAUGGGAUUAGCUAGUAGGUGGGGUAACGGCUCACCUAGGCGACGAUCCCUAGCUGGUCUGAGAGGAUGACCAGCCACACUGGAACUGAGACACGGUCCAGACUCCUACGGGAGGCAGCAGUGGGGAAUAUUGCACAAUGGGCGCAAGCCUGAUGCAGCCAUGCCGCGUGUAUGAAGAAGGCCUUCGGGUUGUAAAGUACUUUCAGCGGGGAGGAAGGGAGUAAAGUUAAUACCUUUGCUCAUUGACGUUACCCGCAGAAGAAGCACCGGCUAACUCCGUGCCAGCAGCCGCGGUAAUACGGAGGGUGCAAGCGUUAAUCGGAAUUACUGGGCGUAAAGCGCACGCAGGCGGUUUGUUAAGUCAGAUGUGAAAUCCCCGGGCUCAACCUGGGAACUGCAUCUGAUACUGGCAAGCUUGAGUCUCGUAGAGGGGGGUAGAAUUCCAGGUGUAGCGGUGAAAUGCGUAGAGAUCUGGAGGAAUACCGGUGGCGAAGGCGGCCCCCUGGACGAAGACUGACGCUCAGGUGCGAAAGCGUGGGGAGCAAACAGGAUUAGAUACCCUGGUAGUCCACGCCGUAAACGAUGUCGACUUGGAGGUUGUGCCCUUGAGGCGUGGCUUCCGGAGCUAACGCGUUAAGUCGACCGCCUGGGGAGUACGGCCGCAAGGUUAAAACUCAAAUGAAUUGACGGGGGCCCGCACAAGCGGUGGAGCAUGUGGUUUAAUUCGAUGCAACGCGAAGAACCUUACCUGGUCUUGACAU
rnacentral:rRNA from 1 species